UUCCUUUUGUGGAAGGGAGGCUAAUGCGCGUUCAGAUGGCUUUCCCCAGAGAACGCUCUGCAGCCUGGGCUGCUGCGUAUGCUGCUUGAACAGGUUUCAUCUGUUGUCUUGGGAGAGAAUGGGAAAGGGACAGGCAAAGAAGUCGCUGGCAGGGAGUGGUGUGGAGGUCCUGCAGUGUCUGUUCCUGAGACCUUACAGGCCACCUCAUUCUUUGGAAUCUCGUUGGCUGGUGUGAGCUCACGUCCCUGUGAAAGAGCUGAAGAGGUGCAGCAUGGCUCACAACUGCCUGCAGUGCAUCAAGUACCUAAUGUUUGUCUUCAACCUCCUCUUCUGGGUGAGUACACAUCUGAGAUUGAGAGCUGUUUGCCUUUGUUUCCCCUUU
rnacentral:lncRNA from 1 species